GGUCUGGUGGUCUAGUGGUAUGAUUCGCGCUUAGGGAUUACCCUGAGUAAAUUGCGCGAGGUCCGUAAGUAUUAUCACACAUUCAAUUUCAACGUAACAAAGCAUCAAUUCUAACAACAUCAUAGCGGGUUCAAUCCCCGGCCAGACCC